rnacentral:tRNA from 2 species
UCAGAGUAUAGCUAAGAUAGAAUAGCAUUUCCCUUACACUGAAAAGUCAUCCGUGCAAACCGGAUUACCCUGAU